rnacentral:sRNA from 1 species
AAAUGCUGCACUAUUACAGGCUCGAACACUGCUCUUGUCAUUGAAGCCAUUAUGUUUGGACUAGGCAACAUUCCAUCCGUGGCAAGGAAAGCAUCAUAGACCAUCGUCUUGUUGAUUCGAAAUGAACCCUCAUCUUCAAUGAUCGAAUCUAAUUCCUUGUCCAAAGGUGCAUAGAUAGGUAUGUGGAAUGUCAGCUUCCAUACUUGAGUUGACUUGGACGCAUGGUUGCUUGAGCAUCUGCCAACCAAUGAGAAAAUCAGCUGACCUCCAAGAACUAGUUCUUGAGCCCUCAAGGACAAGAACAGCGUGAAAUCCUUUCUGAACUGUCGAGCAUAAGCAUUGGCAACAAUUUCACGGUUCAAUAGCCUCAAUUUAUCGUCACUAUCGUACAUUGGGAUUUUACUCUUCACAAGCUCUUCAGGUGCCUGCUUGUAAAAAGGCACAAGUGUUGCAUGCCUACCUCUGAUAACCAAUGCAGGCUGAUGGAGGAGCAGAAGAAAUGCACUGAGGUCGAUGUGAAAAGCCUAUCAUAAAAUGACCCAGGUACCAUGCUGGUGACAAUGAUGUGAUGGGAGGAACUGUCCUGGCCAUGCUUGAAUUCUCCCAAACUUUUUGCAACGGUGUUGAAGUCAUUGCAUGGAAGAUCGUUCAAGAAAAUGCACAUUUCUGGUUGUGGCUGCUUGUGUUCCAUGCAAUAACGGUGGAUGGCGUUGACCAUAGUUGAAACGAGAGUGAGUGCGUUGGGGCCGGAGGAGCAACCCAAGUCUGCGAUUACCAUGC